UGACCGUGAGGUUUGUAGACUGAAAAGGGAGACUCCUUGAACUUGGCAGAUUAAAUUUCACGUCUGGAAUUGAAUUGAGAAUUUGGCAGCUCUUCAAAUUCUCGCUUUCUGUCGUGAAUCCGUGACUUGUAGUGAAUUAAAGAUGGAAGAUGAAGAAGUUUGAAAUUGGAGAGUCUCCAUAGAAGGGGUAUCGGCCAAGAGGGAGAAGGAAGAAGAAAGGAUUUUGGGCUUGCUCCCAUUUUUUGAAAAGAAUUGGACUCCAACACUUUAAUUAAAUUGUUUUGGGCUCAUUUGGUUGUAAGGCCCAAAUUUGUAUCAUUCUUUAUUUGUUAGACUUUUUGAUUGUUAUGGCCCAAAGCCAUUUUUAUAUAAACAUUUGGACUUCAAAUUUUAUUAAUUAUUUCACGACAUAUAUUUAAAUUAGUACUUAAAAA